CCAGACUCCUACGGGAGGCAGCAGUGGGGAAUAUUGCACAAUGGGGGAAACCCUGAUGCAGCGACGCCGCGUGAGCGAUGAAGUAUUUCGGUAUGUAAAGCUCUAUCAGCAGGGAAGAAAAUGACGGUACCUGACUAAGAAGCCCCGGCUAACUACGUGCCAGCAGCCGCGGUAAUACGUAGGGGGCAAGCGUUAUCCGGAUUUACUGGGUGUAAAGGGAGCGUAGACGGUCCUGCAAGCCAGAUGUGAAAGCCCGGGGCUCAACCCCGGGACUGCAUUUGGAACUGUAAGGCUAGAGUGUCGGAGAGGCAGGCGGAAUUCCUAGGGGAGCGGUGAAAUGCGUAGAUAUUAGGAGGAACACCGGCGGCGAAGGCGGCCUGCUGGACCGUGACUGACGUUGAGGCUCGAGAGCGUGGGGAGCAAACAGGAUUAGAUACCCGUGUAU
rnacentral:rRNA from 1 species